rnacentral:rRNA from 1 species
UACGUAGGGUGCAAGCGUUAAUCGGAAUUACUGGGCGUAAAGCGUGCGCAGGCGGUUUUGUAAGUCAGAUGUGAAAUCCCCGGGCUUAACCUGGGAACUGCGUUUGAAACUACAAGGCUAGAGUGUGGCAGAGGGGGGUGGAAUUCCACGGUGUAGCAGGUGAAAUGCGUAGAGAAUGUGGAGGAACACCGAUGGCGAAGGCAGCCCCCUGGGUUAACACUGACGCUCAGGCACGAAAGCGUGGGGAGCAAACAGG